rnacentral:rRNA from 1 species
AUUGAACGCUGGCGGCAGGCCUAACACAUGCAAGUCGAACGAGUGGCAGACGUGUGAGUAAUUUCUGGGAAACUGCCCGAUGGAGGGGGAUAACUACUGUAAACGGUAGCUAAUACCGCAUACCAUCGGAUGUGCCCAGAUGGGAUUAGCUAGUAGGUGGGGUAAAGGCUCACCUAGGCGACGAUCCCUAGCUGGUCUGAGAGGAUGACAAGCAACAAGGGAACGGAGACACGGUCCAGAGUCCUACGGGAGGAAGCAGUGGGGAAUAUUGCACAAUGGGCGCAAGUCUGAUGCAGCCAUGCCGCGUGUAUGAAGAAGGCCUUCGGGUUGUAAAGUACUUUCAGCGGGGAGGCGUUACCCGCAGAAGAAGCACCGGCUAACUCCGUGCCAGCAGCCGCGGUAAUUC